AAUUGUACAAAAAUAAAAAAUCAGAUGAUACCAUGGGCACACUGAGCAGGUGCAGAAUUAAUGGCACUCGGAGGCCUCCAUCUCAGGAUACUCUCUCCAGACCAGAGAACACUCUGAAACCUGUACCCAGUGAACCAGUGUUCUGAAGUAUUCCUCAGAGACAGGAGACCACAAACAUACACUGCCAAGAUGUGUGAACUUCUUCAUAGAAAUCCAGAAUUUGUCCUAACUGGAAUAUCUGUGAUCUCAGACUACCACCCUGGGCUCCCUGGCCCUGUCCCCAGAAGGGGAACAUUCUGCCACCCACCUCUUGACCUCCUGCAGCUCUAACCUGCAAGUGAUGGCUGUCAAAUCAGGGACUUGGCUGCCAAACCAGGAACUUCUGAGGAGCUACUUUGGGCCUGUGCAGCCCCAGCCCCAUCUUUGCCUCCAAACACUGCUCAAUAUGGAGCAUCACCUUUCUUCAGGCCAUCUUCAGGAUGAGAGUCUGCACUGCCUUUGCUGAGCAGCCCACUGAUCCCUCCCUCAAUGGUGAAAUCCUGCCCAAAUCACCAAGUGCUCUCAGGAUUUCUCAUGUGUUUUUUCAGAGGAUGACAACACUGGCCUCCAGAAAGUGUUGGCAUGCCAAAAAAAGAAGAUUGAAUAAUGACAACAGUCCUAAAUCUGCUCUGAUAGGGAAUAAAAAGUGAUUUUCAGCAA